rnacentral:rRNA from 1 species
GAUGAACGCUGGCGGCGUGCCUAAUACAUGCAAGUCGAGCGAACAAACGAGGAGCUUGCUCCUUUGACGUUAGCGGCGGACGAGUGAGGAGCACGUAGGUAAUCUACCGAUAAGACUGGGAGAACUACGGGAAACCGGAGCGACUACUGGGUAAUAUUCCGAACCGCAUGGUUCGAUAGUGAAAGAAGGAUUUGCUAUCGCUUGUGGAUGGACCUGCGCCGUAUUAGCUAGUUGGUAGGGUAACGGCUUACCAAGGCAACGAUGCGUAGCCGACCUGAGAGGGUGAUCGGCCACACUAGAACUGAGACACGACCGCGACUACUACGGCGGGCAGCAGUAGGGAAUCUUCCGCAAUGGGCGGAAGCCUGACGGUGCAACGCCGCGUGAUUGAUGAUGGUCUUCUGAUCGUUAAACUCUGUUAUCAGGGAAGAACAAACGUUUAAUUAUCUGUGCACGGCUUGACGGUACCUAAUCAGAAAGCCACGGCUAACUACGUG